UUAUAUAUAUAUAUUUACAACACUUGUAAAAAAAACGGUAGACUUUUCUUAUUAUGUUAUUUGUAAUGUGAUUUAUAUAUAAAUCACAUUACAAAAAACAUAAUACAAAAAAUAAGUAUGAACUUCUGCAACAUAGAUAUUACAUUAAGAGCAAAAUUAACAUAAAAAAUUUACAUUCAGAAGAAAGUAUCAACUUCAAUGUGCAAUCAAAUUGAAAAUAAAUAGCCUAACUGUAGUGCAAAACAAAAGGUCAAAAAACUAAAAUAAAUACAUAUAAAUAAAACAAAGACACAUCCAUACGCUCACUGUUGUGGGUGCAGAACAAAUUAAAUCCAAACAGGAUCAUCAUGAUAAAGGUGGCAUUAUGCCCUUUACUUCAGAAACUUUGUCUAUUGGUUAUGAAUAUGCUUGUUAUACAACUAUUAUUACUAAUAGUAAUAAUAUUAUAAAAAAAAAUAACCACGAUAACAAUAUACGUUAUUAUUACUAUUACCAGGCCUCAACCUUGUUUUUCUUUCUCGAGAGCGCCAGCCCUGAUAACAGUUCAGUGAGUGAAGGAAUCACUGAGCAUUGAGCAAGUUUCCUCGCAAUGAGAGUCUCCGCCACCAGAUUCGCCGGUGAUUCAGUGAUUCACAGACCACACAGCAGUUCCCCUGCCGGCCUGUGGGGUCGCUGCUGAGCUCAACUACUGAACUGAGAAAUGAACGAAUCAGCUGGGGAAGUGAUUGGAUUCAGUUCGUUCACUCAAAUGAUUCGUUCAUUCGAACGAAUCGUUAAUGAACGACACAACACUAUUUUUUCGGCGUGGUUGCGGCCUACAGCAACCUGGGUUCUAAGUUAAGUCAAUAAAGCGACUUAAACUGCCUACUCGGUCCUUCUUUCAGAGUCCAGGCGGACGCUACAAUAUAUUUAAAACACCUUCAGUCCAGUAACAGCUGUGUUUAUUUGUUUUUUUAAAGUCACUGGUUAGCUCUGGUUGAUCUCAGUUCAUAAUAUUGCAGCAAAUAUCCAGCACAACAAACCCAGCUUUAAACAAAAACCAUCGCUGUAUAAACAUAGACAGAGGAGAAGUUUUCUUUCAGAAACAGCCAGGGUUACCUGCGUGUUUACUAAUCCGUUACUCGUUCGUGCUGGAGUUAAGAUCAUUUGCACGUUAGGUGGAUUUACGGGGCUAACGUGUAUUCAUUUUAUUAAUCUUUAGUGAUAGCAGGUAAAAUCUUGGCAAUGAAAGCUAUAUGAGUCUCGUGGCUCGAGUUUAUGGGGCGUUUGGGGACAGUAGAACCAAAACAGCUUAGCUAUGUAAGUUAGUUUGCUAAUUUACGGAGCUACUUCAUGACGCAGAUUAGUCCAUUCAUCAUUAAAUUAUCAUACAAUGCAAAGAACAAAUGCUGUGUUCAGAUGAUGUGGUAAACUAUUCAUCUACAUGUUGUUCUUUCUUAGCUAUUCAUGUGAUUUUCUCUAUCAUUAACAGGGUGGUCAGCUUCCUGAGGGCUUUGAGGAUAGUUAUCCUGGUGCGUGUCUUUCGUCUGGCCUCUCAGAAGAAAGAUCUGGAGAAGGUCACUAGAAGAAAGGUAUCUGAGAACAAAAGGCGGUAACAAAAAGGAUGGAUUUGAUUUGGAUCUCACCUAUGUCACAGCAGGCACUCUACAGAAAUCCCAUAAAAGAAGCUGCCAUAUUUCUGGACACAAAGCAUCCCGAUCAUUACAGAGUUUACAAUCUCUGCAGUCAAAAAGGCUACGAUCCACUGUUCUUCCAUUACAGAGUGCAACGAGUGAUGAUUGACGACCAUAACGUACCGUCAUUAGAGACUCCCCCUAUCACUAGUAAUGCCCCAACACACCAGGAGGAUGAAGACUAGCACACUCUUUCUCCGAUACAUGUGAAGUCAGCCACCGCUUCUUUUCGAGCUGCUGCUGAUGCAGCAUUGCCAAGCAGCCAGCACAUUUGGAGGAAAGCGCAGCGGCAGGUGAACCCGACCUGACCUGAGGAAAGUGGUGGGAAAUCUCGAGCCAGGUCAGACCUUGGGUUGGGUUUGGGCAGAGAACCUAAGCUCUUAUUCACAUAUUGAACUUUGUGUUAUUGUGUUCUCAGGGACAUGUUGAACUACACUGCCAGUUUGAGGGAAUGUCAUUGCCAUCCACUGCAAAGGAGGCAAAGGUGUGGGAAAGGGCAAUGGCAGUGAUCUGAAGGUGCGGAUCAUAGUGAAAAGAGAGCAGGUGUUCCAGUGUGUCUGUGCCACGCAGACGAACUGUAGGGUGUUCCCAGAUACUGAAAACAAUGCCGUGGUGAUCAGCUUACAGGAAGGGCCAGUGGUUUGUGGUGAUGUUAAGGUCAUGUUUGAAUCCAGGGCUGGUCGUCCAAAGGGGUAUGAGGACUAUCCUUUCUAUUUCUGGUUCAACACUUCAUUUGUAGAGAACAACAGGCUCUAUCUGUUAAGGGAGGAACUGGACAACCCACGUAAGUCCAAAACCUGGGACAUCUACAAGGUGUGACCGUGUCUUUCAGUGACCAGUGGUUAUGUGUGCAGAAACAUGUUUUUGUAGUACACAUGUAUUGAAAUAAAUACUAAUGUCUUGUCUGUCUCUUUUUUGAAUUAACAACUGAUAUCUGGGUUGCUGAAUUUCUGCAAUUGUUUUUAAGGAUAGAUCUGAGUGACUUGUUUUUUUAGAAGUAAAAAGUCUGGUCUUACAGGUGGGCAUGCAACUCUAAACUCUUUAGAAUCAGCAGUUUUAGAGGUGACCUUUUUCAGAAGCGCUGUCAGUGCCAUUCUCAUAUAAAAGGCUUAAAAUCAAAUCUCAAAUGUGCAGCUUUUAUAAUAGUAAAUAAAAUAAUGUACUAUGUAAUUGUGUAGAACACAAACUGUAUAAACACAAACUUUAAUUCUAGAAUUGAUAUACACUAUCUGCUGCUGUCAGUACAAAUGGAUGGCUGGGUCAAAAAUCAGAGGGAAAAUAUUAAACUGGGGAUUCACAAAAAUGCUUUUUCUUAAGUUCUUAAGUUUAUACUUAACUUAAGAGGUCUGUUUUGGUUAUUUUUCUUAAUGUUUAAUUUGUACCAAAAAAAAUGAAUAAUAAUAUAUAUACCUUUAUGAUACACUCACAUUUCAGUGCUUGGUUUGACUCUGUUUUUUUAUUUUCCUAAUGUUUUCUUAAGCCUUCACAUCAGUGUCUCAGCACUGGCAUUCAGAGCCCCUUAUUCACCAUCCUACUCUAUUGGACAUUUCAGGGACAACAGCCUUUUUUGCCCAAUUAUAAACACUCUUCUUGUAAAAGUUAUCCAGACAUAGGUAAAAAAAAAAAAAAACA